AGGCCCAGCAGCAGGGGCUCCAGGUGGUCUGGGGCUCCACCUUCACCAUCAGCUGCUCCAUCCAGCCACAGUACCCAGGAGGCUACUUCCAGCUCACCUUCACCUCCUCCAACACCUCUUACAACUCCACCCAGCCGGCCGUCGAUCACUCUGCACACUUCCUGUUUCCUGCCGCAGAGCCCGCCCACCGGGGAAACUACAGCUGUGUUUAUCACCUCCAUGUUUUUGGACACAGCUUCUGGUCAGAGAGCCGCCUGCUGUCUCUGUCUGUGUCCGAUCCAACAGCUGUGGUGGUCAGAUGGGUGGUGGUGCCGCUGUCUCUGCUGCUGGUGCAGGGGGCGCUGUGGCUGUACUGUAAGGCCAGCAGGGGGCAGACCGGCAGACCGGGCGGACGCUGAGCGGAGUGCAGUGGAGGGAUGAAGUCGGUCCUCUGAACCUUCCUGCUGUGAAGACCAGAUGGUUUUUAUGAGCUUCUUACAGCAAUGAUGAAUCUCAUCACGUUCCUACAGACAGUGGAACAAGGUUCCUUUUCCUUUUGUGGACCGU